UCUUCCUGCACCUCCCUUCUUUCAUCAAACGUAUAAAAAAAAUAUCACUCACGAAUAGAUCAACGUUACAUCUCCUUCACUCCUUUAAGGAAAAACCACAUUCAACACACAAUUUUGCCUUCAGUUCCAAAUUAAAUCCCUUCUAAACAUCUCUCUAUUACAUCUACCCUUUCAUUUCAAUCUGAAUCCAGUCGUUUCAUGUAUCUAUGAAAGCUCUCCUAUAAAUUUAGGGCCAAACACGACUAAACCCUCGCCACAAUCCACCGCAAAAACAUGUCGUCAGCAGAUUCGUCUUUCUCAAUUCCCGUCUUCCUUUAUUGAUGAUCUUCAUCAUGAUUUAUGUCUCGGCUUCAUACAUCUCCCUCGACAGUCUCCAUCUGGAUUGAUUCAACGUAUUGGAUUGCAUAUAUGUUGGCUUACGAAACUUCUGAAUCUUCUAAAGAAAAAGCUGAGAGUUUCAUUGAAGGGAAAUAAAAAGGACGCCACUGAAUUCUUGGAGGAGAUGAAUGAGAAAGAAGCUACAUAGAUGAAAGAAAUCAUGGGUCUAAAGGGGAAUGGAGUUCUAUGUGUCUACCCUCGGGAAAAGAACAUCAAAAACAUGCUGUCCAUCUCAAAAGAGAAGAAGAAAGAGCACCAACGAGUUCAAGCAGGUUAGUCCUGUGGAUGGCACCGUUCUGAGGUUCGGGGAGUUAAAAGAAAGUAGAGGGAUGAACGAGCAAGUCAAAGGACAUUCCUACUCAGCACCAGGUCUUCUCGGAACAAACUCACCUUCCCAUGGUACCUGAAGGUAAGGAUGAAUCUGAGAAAGAAGUUGUUGCAGAUAAAAUCGACAAGUCUUGGUUGAGAAUCUCUUUGGCUUCUCCAAAACUACGGGAGAGCAUCUCAGCUAGGUCAGUGAAAUAUUAGCACGUCUAAGCAGUGACUUUAGUGUCAAGAAAAUUGCAACUUAUAUGAUCGAGUUUUCUUGCAGUCCGAUGAAGGGGAUCUAUUAUUGUGUGAUAUACCUAAGACCAGGGGACUAUCAUCGUAUACACUCUCCAGCUGACUGGAAUGCAUUGGUUCGUAGACACU